GAUGAAGAACGCAGCGAAAUGCGAUAAGUAAUGUGAAUUGCAGAAUUCAGUGAAUCAUCGAAUCUUUGAACGCACAUUGCGCCCGCCAGCAUUCUGGCGGGCAUGCCUGUUCGAGCGUCAUUUCAACCCUCAAGCUCUGCUUGGUGUUGGGGCCCUACGGUUGACGUAGGCCCUUAAAGGUAGUGGCGGACCCUCUCGGAGCCUCCUUUGCGUAGUAACUAACGUCUCGCAUUGGGAUUCGGAGGAACUCUUGCCGUAAAACCCCCAAAUUUUCUAAUGGUUGACCUCGGAUCAGGUAGGAAUACCCGCUGAACUUAAGCAUAUCAAUAAGCGGAGGA
rnacentral:misc_RNA from 1 species